AGCGAACGCUGGCGGCAGGCCUAACACAUGCAAGUCGAACGAACUCUUCGGAGUUAGUGGCGGACGGGUGAGUAACACGUGGGAACGUGCCUUUAGGUUCGGAAUAACUCAGGGAAACUUGUGCUAAUACCGAAUGUGCCCUUCGGGGGAAAGAUUUAUCGCCUUUAGAGCGGCCCGCGUCUGAUUAGCUAGUUGGUGAGGUAAAGGCUCACCAAGGCGACGAUCAGUAGCUGGUCUGAGAGGAUGAUCAGCCACAUUGGGACUGAGACACGGCCCAAACUCCUACGGGAGGCAGCAGUGGGGAAUCUUGCGCAAUGGGCGAAAGCCUGACGCAGCCAUGCCGCGUGAAUGAUGAAGAUCUUAGGAUUGUAAAAUUCUUUCACCGGGGACGAUAAUGACGGUACCCGGAGAAGAAGCCCCGGCUAACUUCGUGCCAGCAGCCGCAGUAAAAC
rnacentral:rRNA from 1 species